rnacentral:tRNA from 1 species
UGGGACGUCGCUGGAUAAGGAUUCACUAGCAUGGGGUGCUAGGGGUCGAGUGUUCGAAUCACUCCGUCCCGACCA